rnacentral:rRNA from 1 species
UAAAAAACUUGUUGAAAUAUAUAAAGAAAAAUAUAAUAAUAGAAAAACCAUUUUAAAAGAGUGUAUGGUUGAAAGAAAUGCUGUAAAUAAAACUAAAGUGAAUAAGUACCGUGAGGGAAUGAAUUAAAUUAUAGUAAAGUAAGAAUAAAUGUCUGUACCUUUUGUAUGAUGGCUUAUCUAGAAAGAAACAUAAAUUUGUUUUCCCGAAAUAAGUUGAGCUAUUAAAAUUCUAUGUCAAUGUAGAAAGAUUGUAUAAAGAAAUUUUAAUAGAGGUGACAUGCCUAUCGUAACUUAUGAUAGCUGGUUAGCUAAUAAAGAUAUGAAAGUGUCUGUUUUUAGAAUACUUAAGGUUAAAAAAACUUUAAAUAAGAUAAAUAACUAAGAUAUUGAAGGAUAAGCUUCUAUAUAGUGUAAAAAUAAAAAUUAAAGAGAAAUUAGAUAUAGGCUUAAGAUUAGCCAUUAGUUAAGUAUCUUGUUAUAAACUAUAAUUUGUUGUUUCUUUAAAUUUAUUUUUAAAAUUUUACUCUUGUUUAUUAGCGUUUUUUAGAAAACUAAAAUCUAAAAGAAAUUCUGGUAAGAUGAGUAUUUAAACUAAAAUUAUCUUGGCUAUAAAUAAAAUGUCGAAGAAUAAAUAAAGUUUUUUUAUAAAGCAGAAAGAAGGAACUCGGCAAAAAGUUGUCUCGCCAGUUUAUCAAAAACAUGGCUCUUUGUGUCAAAUAAAUAAAGAGUCGAACCUGCCCGGUGAUAGAAUUUAACGGCCGCGGUACCCUGACCGUGCAAAGGUAGCAUAAUCAUUUGCCUUUUAAUUGAAGGCUAGUAUGAAGGGUUUGACGAAGACAGAACUGUCUCCUAUCUGUUAUUUAAAAAUUAAUUUUGAUGUGAAGAAGCAUUAAUAAAUCUAAAAGACAAGAAGACCCUAUUGAGCUUUAAUGGUUAGUGAAGAUAAAAAUAUGUAUCAAAAAGUUAUUAUUUUUCUAUCUAUUUUAGUUGGGGCGACUAAGGAACAUAAAAGCUUCCUUUUAAAGAAAUAGACAUAUCUGUUAUGAUCCAAACAUAUUGAUUAGAAAAAUUAGUUACCAUAGGGAUAACAGCGUAAUCUUUUUUGAGAGUUCUUAUCGAAAAAAAGGCUUGCGACCUCGAUGUUGGAUUAAGAUUUCCAAUUGGUGUAGAAGCUUUUUUGGUUGGUCUGUUCGACCAUUAAAAUCUUACAUGAUCUGAGUUCAGACCGGCGUAAGCCAGGUCGGCUUCUAUCUUUAGAAAAAAGUUUUUUAAGCUAGUACGAAAGGACCGUUUUAAAUUAAAAUAUUUAUAAGUUAGAUAAAGUUUA